GGGCGGGGCCUGCCGCCGCCACCGCCUCAGGGAAGAGGAAGGAGGCCGCGGCUUCGCGUCCCGCCUCUCGCCUGGCUGGCCGUGGGGGGCCUGGACGCAGUGGCCUCCCGAAUCUCCCAGGACCCUAAUAUCGCCCGAGGAUGCUGGGAGGAACGCUGAGCCGACCUCUCCGUUAGGCUGAAGAUUGCACAAACCAUGCUAAUGGCCAGCAUGGAUGGAGGGAGCGUGUGAGAUGUGUGGGGCAGCGUGCUGCAUCUCAGCCAACUCCAGGAGCCAGUUGAUGUGAUGGACUACCUUAAUUGAUUUUUGAAUGUUGAGCCAGCCUUAUGCAUGUGGGAUAAACCCCUGUUGAUCAUGGCUGGCUGGAGUGCAGUGGUGCAAUCAUGGCUCACUGCAACCUCAAAUUCCUGGGCUCAAGGGAUCCUCCUGCCUCAGCCUCCCAAGUAGCUAGGACUACAGAUGGAACGAAGUCUGUUUGUGGAAACACCCUUCCCCUCUGUUUACUUGGACCUGAUUUUGAAAGUAACAAGUCACUUUAUUUGGGCUGGAGGAAAAAGCACUAAACCAGAUGUUGAGGUGACCGGGAUUCCUGGAAGACAUUCUUCUCUCCAACGAGACACAUGAUGCAUGAAGUAGGAGCCCCUGGCAAGGAGCCCAGGCUGCCAUGGCCUCGCUCGCUCCUGCUUCCCGGCAUGGCCCCGAGGCUAGCUGCCUCUGUACUGCCUGAGCAUCGUCCCCUGGCGUGUCACCAGACUACCCACUACCUGUGCUUGCACCUGCAGGUGGGCAGUUCAGUCGUUGCAGGCUGAAGCUCCCUGUCACAGGAGUCCAUCAGCACUGGAGUUUACCAAAUGGCCCAGUCCAGGAAGCAUGCUCAUGGCAAUACCCGGAGUCUCCACUGCAAGACCAGAGUGACGGAGGCAGCAGAGCUCCUCAGCAGGCCAGGAGUCUCCAGAGGCACUGCCGAAUGUCUAAGAAGCAACCUCAUUGUAUUCCCAAGACCUGGGAAUCCAGGUCUCGCAGAUACGAUGAUACAAUCUAUAGCCAGGACAUCUCUUCAUGUGUAGUUUUCAAUGAAUACUAGGAUAAGCAACUAUCCCAGUCUUCCCAGGAUUGAGGGGCUUCUCCAGAUGCUGCACUUCUGGUGCUAAAAAUGAGAAACUGAAAUGAAUUAGUCACCCAAGGAAUGCUGACCCUGUGCUAUAUGAUCACAUUUACUCUUUAAAGCAAUGCUUUGAGGCCAAGCUAUAAAUAAAGGGUGGACUGACCUUGUCAACUGUUAAAUUGGAGCCGUGGUGCGUUGCCUAGAACAUUGCGGAUGACCCCGAGCAGCACAGCAGAUCAACGGCUGAGAAAGAGCUCAUUCAGCUCAUCUAACUAGGAUGCUGUCCUGCCAGAGCCCUGGGGGUUCUCGUCUCCUGGGGCAAAAGCAGCAUGCAACCCUUAUGAACCCAUCUUGGAAGGCAUUCGGGGAGCCCAAGACAAGACCAUUGGGAGCCUCAGGGUCACUUGUGGGGGUCUCUGUGCUGGACGGCUGUACCUCUCAUGAAAUGGACAACUGACCAUAAGAAGGAGGUAAGUUACGCAUGGACGGGAAAAUAAGAAGCUCCUACUUAGGGCUGUGAUAUGUGCGGUAACCAUUUAACGUUAAUAGCAUCCAUGUGAGACAGGUGCUAGUACUGCCCCAUUUCAUAUUGGCGGACAUUGAGGCACACAGACUGUAUGACUUGCCCAAGGCUGCCCACCUGGUUAGGGGAGCUCCAGGAUUCCAAUCCAGUCCGAACUCAACACGAGGGGUGGCACCUACAGGCUGGGGUCAAUCUGGAAGACUGCCUGUUGUAUGGCCUGGCAACUAAAAAUUGUUUUUUACAUUUUUAAAUGGUUGACAAAAUUAAAAUAAGAGAAUAUUUCAUGAC
rnacentral:lncRNA from 1 species